CAGGUUGUAGCUAAGACAGAAAAGCAUCUCCCUUACACUGAGAAGUCGUCCGUGCAAAUCGGACCAUCCUGA
rnacentral:tRNA from 1 species